GUUUUCUCUUCUGCCUGCACCAACCUUCAUGUUCCCGCUUCAUGAAUGAGGGACCUGGGAGUGCUUGCUGAAGGCGGCAUGUGGCUCUCUGAAAAAUAUACUAUGGCCUUGACCUUGCUAACUGCAGAAGCCCAUCAGAGUGGGACUGGACAGCCCAGGUGUGGAAAGAUCUGAAGACCAGGAAAAAAGAUCAAGCUCUGUGG
rnacentral:lncRNA from 1 species